UACAGAGGUCCCGAGCGUUGUUCGGAUUCACUGGGCGUAAAGGGUGCGUAGGUGGCUUGAAAAGUUUGAUGUGAAAGCUCAGGGCUUAACCCUGAAAUGGCAUUGAAUACUGUCGAGCUGGAGGUUUGGAGGGGGGACUGGAAUUCUUGGUGUAGCAGUGAAAUGCGUAGAUAUCGAGAGGAACACCUGCGGCGAAGGCGGGUUGCUGGGCUGACACUGACGCUGAUGCGCGAAAGCCAGGGGAGCGAACGGG
rnacentral:rRNA from 1 species